CCUACGGGGGGCAGCAGUGAGGAAUAUUGGUCAAUGGGCGCGAGUCUGAACCAGCCAAGCCGCGUGCAGGAUGACUGCCCUAUGGGUUGUAAACUUCUUUUAUAAAGGAAUAAAGUCAGGUACGUGUGUCUUUUUGUAUGUAUUUUAUGAAUAAGGAUCGGCUAACUCCGUGCCAGCAGCCGCGGUAAUACGGAGGAUUCGAGCGUUAUCCGGAUUUAUUGGGUUUAAAGGGUGCGUAGAUGGGUUGUUAAGUCAGUGGUGAAAGUUUGCGGCUCAACUGUAGAAUUGCAAUUGAUACUGGCAGUCUUGAGUACAGUUGAGGUAGGCGGAAUUCAUGGUGUAGCGGUGAAAUGCUUAGAGAUCACGAAGAACUCCGAUUGCAAAGGCAACUUACUAAGCUACCACUGACGUUGAUGCUCGAAAGUGUGGGGAUCAAACAGGAUUAGAUACCCUAGUAGUC
rnacentral:rRNA from 1 species